rnacentral:rRNA from 1 species
UACGAAGGGGCUAGCGUUGUUCGGAAUUACUGGGCGUAAAGCGCGCGCAGGCGGUCCUUCAAGUCAGAGGUGAAAGCCCAGAGCUCAACUCUGGAACGGCCUUUGAGACUAGAGGACUUGGGUACGGGAGAGGUGAGUGGAAUUCCGAGUGUAGAGGUGAAAGUUCGUAGAUAUUCGGAAGAACACCAGUGGCGAAGGCGGCUCACUGGCCCGUUACCGACGCUCAGGCGCGAC